GGUGGCAAGCGUUGUUCGGAAUUACUGGGCGUAAAGGGCGCGUAGGCGGUUUUGUAAGUCCCGCGUGAAAUCCCCCGGCUCAACUGGGGAACUGCGCGGGAAACUGCGAGGCUUGAGUUCGGGAGAGGGAAGCGGAAUUCCGGGUGUAGCGGUGAAAUGCGUAGAUAUCCGGAGGAACACCGGUGGCGAAGGCGGCUUCCUGGACCGACACUGACGCUGAGGCGCGAAAGCUAGGGGAGCAAACGGG
rnacentral:rRNA from 1 species